AUUAAAACAAAUGGUAGUCAAGGCAAAGCUUAAAUCAUUACUUUGAGCCAGAAACUAGAUGCCAGUUCUCUUUGUUCUUUGUAAAACAAUCACUUUAUAAAGAAUUGGAAUUUCAGGAUUCAGGUACCACAAUUACCCAUCUUUGAUACAAUUUGAGAUGCAGGUAUAAAUUCAAAGGAAACUAUGAUGAAGGCAUGUCCAACACAUGAAUUGUG
rnacentral:misc_RNA from 1 species